rnacentral:lncRNA from 1 species
UAUUAGAAAAAUAAAUAGAGCAACCAUUGCCCUUUCCAUUAAUUUCAAAGCCUUUCUUUAACAACAAAGGAAUGGAAAUUAUAUUUCUAAUAAUUUUGGGCAUAUAAUAACAAUCUUCUAAUUGUAGGAGCUCUCCCGAAGGCAACUCCAAGUUGUAGGUUCCAACAGCUUCAGCCUGGAUGGACUCUCCUCCAGCACCAUAUAGCUCGAAGUCACCUUUCUUCAAAAUUUUAAUUUUCUGUAGUCCAUGCAAAGAUUUGCAAAUGUGAAAACCACAGCCAGUAUCCAAUACCCAUGAAUUUGAAUUUGAA